GACGAACGCUGGCGGCGUGCCUAAUACAUGCAAGUAGAACGCACAGUUUAUACCUUAGCUUGCUACACCAUAGACUGUGAGUUGCGAACGGGUGAUUAACGCGUAGGUAACCUGCCUGGUAGCUGGGGAUAACUAUUGGAUACGAUAUCUAAUACCGCAUAAUAUUAAUUAUUGCAUGAUAAUUAAUUGAAAGGUGCAAUUGCACCACUACCAGAUUGACCUGCGUUGUAUUAGCUAGUAGGUGAGGUAACGGCUCACCUAGGCGACGAUACAUAGCCGACCGGAGAGAGCGGUCGGCCACACUGGGACGGAGACACGGCCCAGAGGCCUACGGGAGGCAGCAGUAGGGAAUCUGCGGCAAUGGACGAAAGUCUGACCGAGCAACGCCGCGUGAGUGAAGAAGGUUUCCGGAUCGUAAAGCUCUGUUGUAAGAGAAGAACGGGUGUGAGAGUGGAAAGUUCACACUGUGACGGUAUCUUACCAGAAAGGGACGGCUAACUACGUG
rnacentral:rRNA from 1 species